CUCAAGUUCUCAUUUUAAGUCAACACACUGAGUAUAAUGCCCAUCAAAACAACUUUCAAUUCUUGUAGAGCAAAUAUGAAUCAGUGUUUGUUAAUGUCAGGAUGUUCUUAUUUAGUGAAAUUAAAGCAAACAGAAGACACUUCAAGUUUCAGACGUUUAUUAAACCCCAUCAAAACACUUUCAAACACAUGACCAAGUGCAGCGUGAGGCAUGUUUGAAUAUUUCCUGGAUGAUUAAGCAUGGUAAUUGUGCGGACAGCUUCCGGAAGACCUUUCUGUGCAGCUCGUGGAGAUGUGUGCGUUCUUCAGAAGUCAGGACGAUCCUUUUUGAGCUUACUGUAGUCUACGUUGACUGAGUAGAACUUGUACUGGUCAUUGGGAGCCAGUUUAUUCCAAGGUUCUGGAUUAUUUUUCUUGUCCCAGCAGACAUCAGGGUUGAACACUGCCAAACGCAUGACGUACAGAGCUGCGCCAAUGCCUCCUGAUCCAAUGAUCAGAAACAGAGGGAUCAAACUGGGGUGCUUCCUGGCGUGGUUGACCAUAACACGAAACAUAGCUGCAGCUGGUGAAGGUCUCCCUCGCUACCCAGCUCCGGAGACCGUCCUGCCCCUUCUGCUGCCGAGGCCCAAUGUCACAGGAAGCCCCCAACGCGGCAGGUGCCCGCUGCCCGGAUAUAGCAGCUCCGGCGGUUGCCUGUUCGCCUGCCGCUAAGCCCAGCCCGGCCGGCGCACCGCCGCAGCAUCCGCGCUAACAUCGCUCCUCGUGCCCUCCUUCCAUACAGCCCCCAACCGGCAGUCAAACAGGCAGCGCUUGCCGGGCGAGCAGGCACCUCUCGGGGCACCCCGCGGAGCCCCCGGCUGAGGGGAGCCGAGCAGGCGCCAACACGGCCCCGCCCCGCCCCACUGCCGGGAGAGGUGUGAGCAGCGCCUGCGCCGGGGCCAUGAGGGCAUGGCGGGAGGCGCCGCUGAGGGCCCCUGGGGGCUGCCCUGGGGCUGACCCGUUCUGGCCCUCCCGCAGCGUGCGCUGCGCCGAGUGGGGAGAGCGGCCGCCUGGAGAGGGUGUUUGUGGAGUCUGUACGGUUUUGCUUGUGUAGCUUCCCAGUUAAGAGGUUAGGAGGAGGUUGAAGAUGGAACAGGACGAGGUUUCAGCACCUCGAAGAGAAACGAGAAAUUCGCCAUAAAAUUGCCGUGUUCGUGAUUCCGCUGGAGUCACUGUGGUGAAAACCAGCUGCGUACGCAGCAUUGAUGGAGACCUUUAACACUGAACUUACACAUGAUACACUUUGGCAUGGAAGUUUAUAGUGAAAUGGUACAUAUAUUGGCUGAGGUUGGACUGGAUUUUGUUAUUUGUUCCCUUGUUAGGUAAACAAUUCCAAUUAAGCAGUGGGACAGUGUACACCAUAGCAGUAAGUCUUCCUACCUUGGCCUCAUGCUGUAUUUUCUUAUGUUACAGAGAAUUAGGACCCAAGUGCCUAUCAUUGGGUGAGAUCACCAGUCCCUCUGACAUACAGUUUCUUUCACAAAAGAUAUAUCCAAAAGAUAAAUUUCUUUGCACACAGAUGUUAAGGAGUUUUGUUUGCUUGCUUGUUUGUUUGUUUAGGUAGAGGCACCAUUAAUGUUUCUGGAACCUAAGAAAAGGGAGCACCUUUUCCAGGUUAGAAGCAGAGUAACUUCAGGUGAAUACCAAUGGUUUGUGUGAAUGUGUACCAAAGUAGAAUUCUGAAGUUAAAUAAGAACGAAAUGGAAGAGAACAAAUAUAUUUAAGCAAACGUCUUUUAUUUCACUUACUAGUUCCAUUUACUCCCUUAGCACCUUACAAAAAAUCAUCUUGGAUUGUACUAGUCGUAACAAAUUCUAGAAAAUGCCAGGAUUCCUCGUCCAUCAUGCUGUAAUCCAACCUUCUAUAGUUUGCCAGAGUCCAUUUAAUCUAGCUAACAAAUAGCCAUGCACAAAACCAGAUGCUGGUUGUUGGCCAUGUUCAGUGCCUCAUACACAUACACUGGACAAAUCACUGAGUGACUGCAGAUCAUAAGUCAUACUGUCAGUACAGUUUAACUUGGUGCAGUACAUUACUCAUCUGCCUCAUUUGUUUCAGAACUGAUAAAAUAGGAAGGACCAUAAUUAGUGUGCAUCAAGAUUUUUUUAACUACUUCAUUUUAUAGUGGGGACAGAAUAAUUUGUGUCAGAAAUAGUGUAAACGGCAGGACUAGGGAGGUCUCUCUCUGUACUUGGCACUGGUGAGGCCACACCUCAAGUACUGUGUUCAGGUUUGGCCCCUCACUACAAGAAGGACAUCAAGGCCCUGGAGUGUGUCCAGAGAAGAGCAAUGAAACUGAAAGGCCUGAGGUACAAGUCUUUUGGAGGGAGCAGCUGAGGGAGUGUGAAUUGUUUUGUCUGGAGAAGAAGAGGCUUAGGGGAGACCUUAUCACUGUCUACAACUGCGUGAAAGGAGGCUUUAAUGAGAUGGGGGUCAGCCUCUUCUCCAACAUAGCUAGUGAUAAGAGAGAAUGGCCUUAAGUUGUGCCAGGGGAG
rnacentral:lncRNA from 1 species